GUGGGGAAUUUUGGACAAUGGGCGCAAGCCUGAUCCAGCAAUGCCGCGUGCAGGAAGAAGGCCUUCGGGUUGUAAACUGCUUUUGUACGGAACGAAAAGGCUCUGGUUAAUACCUGGGGCUCAUGACGGUACCGUAAGAAUAAGCACCGGCUAACUACGUGCCAGCAGCCGCGGUAAUACGUAGGGUGCAAGCGUUAAUCGGAAUUACUGGGCGUAAAGCGUGCGCAGGCGGUUUUGUAAGACAGACGUGAAAUCCCCGGGCUCAACCUGGGAAUGGCGUUUGUGACUGCAAAGCUGGAGUGCGGCAGAGGGGGAGGGAAUUCCGCGUGUAGCAGUGAAAUGCGUAGAUAUGCGGAGGAACACCGAUGGCGAAGGCAAUCCCCUGGGCCUGCACUGACGCUCAUGCACGAAAGCGUGGGGAGCAAACAGGAUUAGAUACCCCGGUAGUCC
rnacentral:rRNA from 1 species